GGGAGUUGGAGCCUCCGGACCCCUUGGCCAGACUGCCUCAGCUCAAACACCGCAUCAAGCAGCUCCUCACAGACCUGAGCAAGGUGCAACAGAUGAGCACCCUGUGUUCUGUGUGAGUUUGGGUUGGCCUGACCUAGGUAGCAUCUGGCCCGUGUCUGGCCUGGGUUAGCAUGGCAACAGCACCAGGCAUCUGGUGUCAUCACAGCACUUCACAGAGGAGAGUCCUAUCCAAACCCAGGGUGAACCCCAUCCUCUCUCUGGCACCGAAGCACACCGUCUGCUGUGGUCCAUAAACUGUCAAACUGAGCAUACCUUCUCCUCCUAGACAGACUGUGGGAGUGAAGCUUCAGUUGGCUCAAUACAAGGGGGAUGAAUACAUGUAUAGAGACCAACAGGAAAGAGUUGAGUCCAGUGGACUCUUGGUAUUGGAAAGAAGGGUGUUUUGAGUUGGAGUAACUGACAAGUAUUGAGUUGACGAAAUGGGACUUGUGGAUGAAAAGUACCAGCUUAACACAGUGUUAGUUUGUAGGGCCCAGGACGUUUGUUGUUUUAACUAAGACUCCCUGUUAUGAAGUGUCCACAACGUUUUCAUAACCAGGAAAUGAGGGUUUGUCCACGUACAUUAAAUCUGUUCACACGCAUUCUAUGAUAUAGCUGAAAUUCAAUUUAAUUCAAUUAGAUUAUUAAAAUGCUAUGAGAUCACCUCGUCAUGGGUCCGUCCCAAAUAGAACCCUAUUCCGUUUAUAGUGCACUACUUUAGACUGUAGUACACUACAGUAUGUAGGGAAUAUAUAGGGGGCCAUUUGGGAAACGACCCAUCACUCUCUUGCCUCAGUAGGAGCAGAGCUGUGGAAGCCUUGCUUGUGUGAUAUGAGUUCAUGCAGAAACUAAAUCACCAAGGUGAAUGUUAGAUGAUAUUGUAGCAAGCUUUAACCUGCCAGAAAUCUGUUCUGUUUUGGAAACGUGGUCUGAAACUUGUUUGACAUGUUUUAAAAUUUCGAGUUGCCCCUCAAGUUCACACUAGGGUGAGAUGAUUUGUUAUUAAAAAAACAGUGCUAACAUCAGUCAUUUAGCGACUGCAUUCUGAUUUCAUUUCAGGAAUCUAUUGCCACCUUUUACAAUCGUUAACUUUCAUUCUCUUUAUGUGCCAAGUCUGAAGGUAUGACCCACCAAGUUUACAAUGUUAACAUGGGGAAAGAUAUAUAUUUUGACUGGUGUAUAUAAUAUACCCAAUCCACAGACAGACAUACGACUGUGUGUCUUCAGGAUAUCUCCAUGACAACCCCGGAAAUGGCCUUGAUGUCACGGGACAUCUGUGGCACGUUUGGAAUAGGGUGCCAUUUGUGGACGUAGCCUCUGUCUGUGGGGUUUUUGAUGCUUUCAGUACGGCCCCAGUAUGGCUGCUAACACCACAAUAUCUUCGGGCUAAGGGGACACGUUUGACUUGUACCACAGUAAGCUAAAUUGCCAGCUGGAUGUAAAAUGCGUAUUAAAAAAAAAGCAAUGUGUUGAUUGCUGUUUUUUGGGUCAUUUUAUGUACAGUUUUUCUAACUGUAAAGAUGAGGAAACAUCUAUAGAAAUGCAUAAGAGGAUAAAAUAUACUUGAAGAAAAAUGACUAUGUUUAUUUAGCGUUUCUAUUAACCUGUAUAAAAAGUGUUUUAGAACCAGUCGGUAGGGGAGAAAAGAAAGUAGAUUUUUAUUGACAUAUACCAGCUGUACAUUAAGAGUUUAUUUAAGACCUGUUCUUUGUGAUUUACAACAUGUACAAUGCCAUUAAAAAAAGAUAUUCUGGAUAUUAAA
ensembl:lncRNA